UAAGUAUGAUCUACGUCUCCUUAAUAAGUCUAGUAAUUUUUUUUAAAUUAAAAUGUAACUUCUUGUAUAUUCAAAAUUUGAUAAGUAUCUUGUUGAAACUGUAACUUAUUAAGAAUUAUUAUAAUGAUGCAGGAAGAGCAUGUACUAGUAGAACACCGAAGGUAGAAGGAGCUGUACAUAAAAGAGACAAACAAUUAGAAACUAGAAAAAUAUUAGGUGCAUCAAAAUUUGUAGUACCUUUAAAGGCUCGUAGUGGACUCAAUUUUGAUAGCUUGAUCCUUUUUACCGAUGAAGACAUUUUUAAGUAGAUCAAUCAACAAUUCAGAUAAAAUACAACGGAAAUGGCAACAAAAUAAUGUUUGUAGACCACAAGAAUAGAUAAUGCUGAUAUUUCUUUAGUUUUGAAAAAGAAAUAAAUUUACUCGUAAUCAGCGUUAACAA